UCCUUGAUCCUUACACACAUUAUCAGAUCAACAUGAGCAACAUUACGGACUAUGCUUCUGCACUAACAGAUGCCAUUGAGAAGAUAGCAGACCCUGAGACCGCUGUUUUAGCCAUUGAUGAAGUCAGCACUUAUAGGGAAUGUCGUGGAAGGUUUGGCCAAAGGUUAGCACGUUCUUCUGCAGAGAAAAUGUCACCAAGUAAGUUACAAUACUGCACUUGUAAUAUUUUCC
rnacentral:lncRNA from 1 species